rnacentral:rRNA from 1 species
AAUAUGGAGAGUUUGAUCCUGGCUCAGAGUGAACGCUGGCGGCGUGCCUAAUACAUGCAAGUCGAACGGACAAGUAAGAGCUUGCUCUUAUGAGUUAGUGGCGCACGGGUGAGUAAUGUAUAGCUAAUCUGCCCUACACUAGAGGACAACAGUUGGAAACGGCUGCUAAUACUCUAUACACCUCUCUAGCAUAAGUUAGAUAGGGAAAGUUUUUCGGUGUAGGAUGAGGCUAUAUUGUAUCAGCUAGUUGGUGAGGUAAUGGCUCACCAAGGCUAUGACGCAUAACUGGUCUGAGAGGAUGAUCAGUCACACUGGAACUGAGACACGGUCCAGACUCCUACGGGAGGCAGCAG